AUACAUAAGACAAAAAACCGGAACUAAAUCGAUCGAAAUGGAGAAUUCCCCUCUCUUUUCCUUUUUGUUGCCGCUGUUGAUUGCGAGGAGGAGAAAGAAGGGAUCGUAACACAGACCAGUUGUUUGUUCUUUGUUGUCUCCUUUCGCUCCCUGCUGCCGAGAAUCGAGAGGAAGGCGGAGGCAGAUCGGUCACCGGUGUGAUGGCGCCGAAGGUCGGGCUGCUACUGCCGGUGUCCGAUCGCAGGGGCGGCGAUGAUGGCGCCCUCCUCUUCAAGGGCUCCGCCAUGACCAUGCGAGGCGCCUUCGCCGCCCUAUCCUACAUGACCUGCGCCGAAUCAUCAGUGAUAUCAUGCAAAUCAUCAUGGCAAAAGCUGGCUACAAUGGAGUCUGUACGUCGAGUGAAUGUUCCAAUGUAUACCACCCUUAGGCGUACAACUGUUGUGUUUACAAUGAUUGUGGAGUAUCUACUAACAAGGCAAAAGUACACCCGCCAUGUUGUCGGCAGGUUGUGAUGCUACUUUCCUGUAUAUUGGCAUUUUUUUGAACACAAACUUGAAUUCUGCACUCACACAGACAAUGUGCGGCAAACUGAAGGAUCUCUUUACCAUCGGACUUGGCUAGCUGUUGUUUGGUGGGCUUCCUUUUGAUGUGCUGAGUGUCACCGGCCAAAUUCUUGGUUUUGUGGGCUCUGGCUUCUACGCAUACUGUAAAAUCAAGGGAAAGUAUAAUUUCAUACAGCUGAGCCAGAUAUAUGACAGGAUAAGCCACCGAUGGGGUCCUGGAUUUCACUCAUAUCUCACUUGUG